UGAGUGAGAGGGUUAUCCGGUUCCACCUCGCCCUCCAUCAUGCCUCCGUCUCCGCCGAUGCGGCUCUCUGUUCUCGAGUCGCAUCGCUUCCGGCCUCUCCGCUUCGCAAUAGCAGGACCGCCCUCGGAUCGGCUUGAUUAGGUCCCUGUUAUCCGGCGUAGGGAAAUUGGACGAGUUUUAGAAAUACUUCUGUUUUUUUUCUUCCUUUUAUCAAUCAUGAUCUGUACAGUGCAGUCAUAGGUUUUUGACAUCAUAUUAAUCGUAAUACCGCGGAUUUGGUAUCAUGUCCUCUAAUUUUCAGGUCAUUUGAUGUGCGAGUUCCAAUUCUUUUACUUUUCUAUUUGUUUGCUGUAUGUUUCCUGCUGCGCACUUGCUCUACGAAGUUACAAGUUAAACCGUCAGUUCAACCGUUUCUGUACCUACCGAAAAAAAGCGUCCUAUAGGCUGUACAGCCGGGCCGCUCCAUGGGGCCCACGUCCUCAUCCUAUACGCAUGCGACGUUGACGUUUCGUCCUCACGAACAAAUCCGUAUCGUUGAUCGUCUCCCUCAUGAAUCGUCCUUUUAUCUUUGGCAAGGAAGAAGCCUCUUUCAUCGAAGCUGCUGCUGAUUCGAAGAAACUGGCAACCCGAACACAUGCACGGUCAUUAAUGUUUUCUGCUUCGCUACAAUCAUAAACACGUUUCAUAUAUGAUAACGUUUAAAUUUAACAGGAGUUGGCAUUCCAAAUUCGCUUAACUUACUUGUCAAAGGACGAGACGAGUCAGAAUGCAUAGCACCAAGAGAUGAAUUGUGGACUGUGGCAUUUAACAACGCUAUCAACAGAGUUACAGAAAACACGGUCUUCGUUAGAUUCCAGAUUAGAUGGGCAAUACCAUAGAUUCAUGUAGAACCUUGACUGAUUACAUGCAUUACUAUUUUUUUAAUGCAGAUGUCGGUCGGUUGUCUGCAGAGAUAACAACUCGAGCCAGGCAUUCACAAAGUGAAAGAAAAAGAACAAGAAAAAGGAAAUACUGAUGCUUGCUACUUCCUAACUCGCACUCUCCGAACAGAGUUUACGAACGGAGCAGGCUCCGGAUGAUCUCGGCCUCGGCGCUGUUGGUGUCCAUGGUCGCCAUGAUCGCAGAGAGCCGGUCACUGAGGUCGUCCACCUCCCUGUUCAGGCUCCUGAUAUAGUUGCACGUUUCCUUCAGUAACUUCGCCGCGGACACCUGCUUGAGGAAACAACACAAGAUCACUGAAACACAUGUGUUAACCAGUCGAUGCUUGCUUCCUCUGCCAAUUAAAGUUCAUGUCAGGAAACCAAACUGAAGAGGAAAUUCAAGCAUCAUCUUGAAGGCCUCUACCAAUGACCAUCAUCUCGAAUAUCUGAAAAGCUCUCGAGAAAAAACUAACAAAAAGCUAGAAAACUUUUUAGGAGGGAGAAAAAGACUCAAACCUAGCUAAUAAUUUAGUAGUGGACUGGUACAUAACAAAGAAGGAGAACGUGUCAGAUAGCUUUUGACCUCCCCAUUAGACUUUGACGAUCGAGUUUGUGGCCUGCACAAACAAUUUAAAAUCACUGUACUGCAAAAUCUUUCUAGAUGGACCACUACAAGAUAUGAUGGUCCACUUGUUGUCGAGAUUUCGUAGGCAAUAUUGCUUCAUCGAA